UAGGGAAUAUUGGUAAUGGGCGAAAGCCUGAACCAGCAACGCCGCGUGUGCGAUGAAGGCCUUCGGGUUGUAAAGCACUUUUUGAGGGGAUGAGGUAGGACAGUACCCUCAGAAUAAGUCUCGGCUAACUACGUGCCAGCAGCCGCGGUAACACGUAGGAGACAAGCGUUAUUCGGAUUUACUGGGCGUAAAGCGCGUGCAGGCGGUCUGGUAAGUUGGAUGUGAAAGCUCCUGGCUCAACUGGGAGAGGUCGUUCAAUACUGUCAGACUAGAGAGUGGGAGAGGGAGGUGGAAUUCCGGGUGUAGUGGUGAAAUGCGUAGAUAUCCGGAGGAACACCAGUGGCGAAAGCGGCCUCCUGGCCCAUUUCUGACGCUUAGACGCGAAAGCUAGGGUAGCAA
rnacentral:rRNA from 1 species